GGUUGGGUCCCACGCAAGGAGAGUUUGUGAACCCCGCCAGAUCCGGAAGGAAGCAACGGUAAACAGACAGGCUCCUGUGCCGCGGGGAAGCUCGGCCGGAG
rnacentral:SRP_RNA from 1 species